rfam:Eubacterium nodatum ATCC 33099 contig00001, whole genome shotgun sequence.
AAAACGCUCUCUGACGAACAGAAACCUGAUAUUAAGGCGUAUAUGGCGGAUAAGCUGGCUAUAGGCAGCGAAGUCCAAAAGGUAGUCGUAACCCAUAUGCGUAAAUCAGGCAGGUAGACGAGGAAA